ACAACUGUAAAUCCUCCCCCUGGAUUAAAACUUAAAGUGCAUUUCUGCCUGGACGUGGGACUUGGGAACAGAAAAUCCAGAAUCAGGAGCAUCUGGAUGGAAGAUGAACUAACUUCUGUUGAUCAGGAAAACACAUUAGAAAAGCCUUCAGUCUUUUCAACUAUAUUGCAAGAAGUAAGAUUAUGCCAAGAAAAUGAACUGUUUUUAAUACCAAGGCUUUCUUUCCCAUUUACUUUAUAUUUGGCACUUUUUAAAAAUGGAUAACAUUUGCUGUCUUCUGAAGAAAUGAUGGCUGGAAAUUGCUUUUUUAGGGGUAAUGUAUUUUUUCCCACGUCCAAGGCAUCACUGACAAGGAAUUGCUAAAAAAAAAAAAAAAAAGGCAUUUCUUCUCACACUUCUAUUAUGGGAGGGAUUAUUUUCACUGUGAGUCCUUUUUAUUGCUUUUUGGAAUGGCUACAAUCCAGCUCUUCACAAACAACAAUAAACUUCAUGCAGUACAAAAUAUACUCAUUAUCUGCACAGGCCUUCUUUCUCUAAUGAGUUUACAAAUCUUCUUGAUUCAGAGAUAAACUGAAUGCAAAAGGUUGAUUUAAGCACUUCUGUAGCUGCCAGAUAAGUAUGCCUUUGCAAAUCAUAUUUUGGUGUUGAAGAUGAGUUUUAUUCCUUUUAAUUUGUUCAAGAACAAUUCCUACAGGUUAUUUCCUGGGUGUACAAUUUCUCAUCUGCCUUAGACAUCCUCUGAAUAGAUUGUAUUAUGAUAUUGAUUCACAUUUUCACAUUUUUAAACACAGAAAACAUAAUGACAUGAUGUAGAGUAGUAUAAUGAUUAAAAAUUAGCUAUCUUCUUGAAGAUUUCUACUCCUGAAUUAGAUGCUUAUGUUCCUUUCACAUUGAAGUACAAAGGAGAUUCAUGGGAGAUGGUGUGAAACUUUCAUAAGGUUGAACAAAAGUUUCUCCAAACAGUAGAUGUCAAUGAGAAAUGUGUUUGUGACAAACUAAAUCUCUUGAAUUCAGACUAUUUGGUAACAGUCCUACUGGCUUUGAGAUUAGAAGAGGAUAAAAUUAACAUAACAGCUAAGAUCAGCAUGCUGGAUUCAUCACCUUCCAUAGCCCUAAAGAGUUCAGUCUCACAGCUCCUUGUUUCAGAGAGGUCACUAGAAACCUUCACACAUGAAGUUGAAAAGUACAGAUCAAACACAGCUGGAAGGAGUGGCUGAUACACCAGUGUGCUGUGCUGCCAUUCAUCAAGAUCUGGACAAGCUAGCGAACUGGACGGAGAGGAUCCUUAAGUGUUUCAACAAGGGCAAGUGAAGAUUCUUACACCUGUGAAGGAGUAACUGCAUACAUAAGCACAGGUUGGGGGCUGACCUGCUGCAAAAGGACUUGUGUGUCCUGGGGGACUUUGCCCUGGUGAGGCCACAUCUGGAGUGCUGUGCCGAGUUCUGAGCUCUUCAGUUCAAGAAAGACAAGGAUUAUCUAGAGAUAGUACAGCAGUGGACUACAAAGAUGAUUAGGGUGCUAGAAUAAGACCCUUAUGAGGAAGACUGAGAAACCUGGGACAGUUUAACCUUGAGAAGACUGAGAGGGGAUCUUAUCAAGAUGUAUAACUAUCUAAUGGGCAAGUGUCAAGAGGAUGGUGCCAAGCUCCUUGUGGUGUCCAAUGACAGAACAAGGGGUAACAGACACAAACUGGACCACAAGGUGCUCAAUCUGAACAUGAGAAAUAACUUCUUUACUUUGAGAGUGACAGAGCACUGGAAUGAAUUGUCCAGAGAGGACAUGGAGUUUUCUUCUCGGGAUAUAUAUUCUGGUCACUUUGCUGUGCAACCUGAUCUGGGGAACCUGCUUUUGCAGGAGGAUUGGAAUAAGCAAUCUCCAGAGGUUUAUUAGAAACCUUAAAUUUUAUUUUUCUAUGAUUCUGUGAUUAUAGCAAGAGUCUCUAACAAAGCUGCAAAGUACUGCUAUGUUUCUUGUAGUGAUACUACUUCAAAUGAGUGUUAUCUGACAGGUGCCUGCUACCUUAAAAUUUAAGUCUCUGUCUACAGAUACUGUUGUAAUCAAUUGGUUUGAUUCUUUUUUUUUUUCAUUAACUAAUAUAAUAAAAUUUUACAUGUUUAUAUCGAGAUAUAAAAUUAUAGUUGUGGACCAUAAAAUAAAGCAUGAU
ensembl:lncRNA